rnacentral:rRNA from 1 species
CCUACGGGAGGCAGCAGUGGGGAAUCUUGCGCAAUGGGCGAAAGCCUGACGCAGCCAUGCCGCGUGAAUGAUGAAGGUCUUAGGAUUGUAAAAUUCUUUCACCGAGGACGAUAAUGACGGUACUCGGAGAAGAAGCCCCGGCUAACUUCGUGCCAGCAGCCGCGGUAAUACGAAGGGGGCUAGCGUUGCUCGGAAUUACUGGGCGUAAAGGGAGCGUAGGCGGAUAGUUUAGUCAGAGGUGAAAGCCCAGGGCUCAACCUUGGAAUUGCCUUUGAUACUGGCUAUCUUGAGUACGGAAGAGGUAUGUGGAACUCCGAGUGUAGAGGUGAAAUUCGUAGAUAUUCGGAAGAACACCAGUGGCGAAGGCGACAUACUGGUCCGUUACUGACGCUGAGGCUCGAAAGCGUGGGGAGCAAACAGGAUUAGAUACCCUGGUAGUCCACGCUGUAAACGAUGAGUGCUAGUUGUCGGCAUGCAUGCAUGUCGGUGGACGCAGCUAACGCAUUAAGACACCUCCGCCGUCGGGGUAGGUACGGUCGGCGAAGAAGUUAAAACUUAAAAGUUAGUAAGUUAGACGGCGUGAGACGUGCCGACGGACGACCGACGAGGGAGGUUAGG